rnacentral:rRNA from 1 species
UUAAAAAUUAUCCAACCCACACUGUGAAUUGUUUUCGAAGGUACGAGCGCAUCCUUCUUGGAUGAGUUUGUAUCUUCACCCUCCCAUACACACCCUAUAAACUUACGAGUAUGAAGUUUACCUUUUUUGUCUCCUCUUCUUUUACGAAGAGAAGAGAAAGAAGUAUUAACCGAAAUAACUCUCAACAAUGGAUGUCUUGGCUCUCGCAACGAUGAAGAACGCAGCGAAAUGCGAUACGUAGUGUGAUUUGCACUAUCCGUGAACCAUCGAAUCCUUGAACGCAUAUUGCACUCGAGGCUUCGGCCAAGAGUAUGCCUGCCUGAGCGUCAGUGUGUCUCCUCACCUCACUUUUAUUUUUGAGCGUGGAUCUGGGCGUCCGGAAUCUUUUGUUUUAUUGAAAGACUCGGGUCGCCUGAAAAACAGUCGUACGUGCGACUGUCGCAUAACCAACGUGGUAGACCACUCCGGUGGACGAUCGUUCGGUUUGACAGCUGUUUACCUAAGUAUGAUCUCGACCGAAUUUAUUUCCGUGUCGAAACCUGUGCUUUUUUACUCCGCACUUUUUCUUUCACAAGAAAGAGAGCAAACCAAAAAAGCUUCACCUUUUGACCUCAGUUCAGACAAGAUUACCCGCCGAAUUUAAGCAUAUUACUAAGCGGAGGAAAAGAAACUAACAAGGAUUCCCCUAGUAACGGCGAGCGAACCGGGAAGAGCCAAACUUGAAAAUCUAAACGUUUUACGUUUCGAAUUGUAGUCUAGAGACGCGUCCUCUGUCACGAACCAGCUUCAAGUCCUUUGGAAAAAGGCGUCAGAGAGGGUGAGAACCCCGUCGAGCUCGG